CAAGGAAUUUUCCGCAAUGGGCGCAAGCCUGACGGAGCGACGCCGCGUGGGGGAAGACGCAUUUCGGUGUGUAAACCCCUUUUCUGGGGGAAGAAGAAAGUGACGGUACCCCAGGAAGAAGGACCGGCUAACUACGUGCCAGCAGCCGCGGUAAGACGUAGGGUCCGAGCGUUGUCCGGAGUUACUGGGCGUAAAGGGCGCGUAGGCGGUUUUUUGCGUCACACGUGAAAGCCCCUGGCUCAACCAGGGAGGGUCGUGUGAAACGGGGAAACUGGAGGCAGUGAGAGGCUGGUGGAAUUCCCGGAGUAGUGGUGAAAUGCGUAGAGAUCGGGAGGAACACCGGUGGCGAAGGCGGCCAGCUGGCACUGACCUGACGCUGAGGCGCGAAGGCAUGGGGAGCGAACG
rnacentral:rRNA from 1 species